rnacentral:rRNA from 1 species
AGCAGCCGCGGUAAUUCCAGCUCCAAUAGCGUAUAUUAAAGUUGUUGCAGUUAAAAAGCUCGUAGUUGAAUUUCGGGAUUGACACAUCGGUCGUGCCUUAAGGGGUAUGAACUGGUGUAGUCAAUUUUCUCACCUUCUGGAGAACCGCAAUGCCCUUAAUUGGGUGUCGCGGGGAACCAGGACCUUUACUUUGAAAAAAUUUAGAGUGUUUAAAGCAGGCAUUUUGCUUGAAUACAUUAGCAUGGAAUAAUAAAAUAGGACGGCAUGAUUCUAUUUUGUUGGUUUCUAGGAUCACCGUAAUGAUUAAUAGGGAUAGUUGGGGGCAUUAGUNUUCAAUUGUCAGAGGUGAAAUUCUUGGAUUUUAUUGAAGACUAACUACUGCGAAAGCAUUUUGGCCAAGGAUGUUUUUCAUUAAUCAAGAAACGAAAUGUUAGGGGAUCGAAGACGAUCAGAUACCGUCGUAGUCUUAACCAUAAACUAUGCCGACUAGGAAUCAGACGAUGUUAAUUUUUUCAAUGAC